GAGUUUGAUCCUGGCUCAGGACGAACGCUGGCGGCGUGCUUAACACAUGCAAGUCGAACGGUGAUGUCAGAGCUUGCUCUGGCGGAUCAGUGGCGAACGGGUGAGUAACACGUGAGUAACCUGCCCCCGACUCUGGGAUAACUGCUAGAAAUGGUAGCUAAUACCGGAUAUGACGAUUGGCCGCAUGGUCUGGUCGUGGAAAGAAUUUCGGUUGGGGAUGGACUCGCGGCCUAUCAGGUUGUUGGUGAGGUAAUGGCUCACCAAGCCUACGACGGGUAGCCGGCCUGAGAGGGUGACCGGCCACACUGGGACUGAGACACGGCCCAGACUCCUACGGGAGGCAGCAGUGGGGAAUAUUGCACAAUGGGCGAAAGCCUGAUGCAGCAACGCCGCGUGAGGGAUGACGGCCUUCGGGUUGUAAACCUCUUUUAGUAGGGAAGAAGCGAAA
rnacentral:rRNA from 2 species